UUUACACCACAUAACCCUCUUUUGAACACCAGUACAAGCUGCAUAAAUAUUUACAAUUACACAUUUCUUCUGGGGUUCUCCCCACCACCCAAUCAACCUAGUGAAACUAGGACUUUCCACACAAUCCUCCAAAACAAACAAAUUUUUCUUCCACACACAAAGCAACCCUCCUCCUCUAUUAACAGCUUGAACGACUCGCCACUCAAAAUCUGAAUCACCCCACACCUGACUACAAACUCGACGAUCAAUAUUCUGAUUUUUUGUUUCUUGAAGACAAAGCAUCUCAAUCUGAUUUUGACCCACCAACUCCCUAAUAACCCUUCUUUUUGCCGAACCUCCCAACCCCCUUACAUUAAAUGAAAGAAUCUUCAUUGAUUACCAUUCACCCCAACAUCAGCACCAGAGAUUUGAAGGGGUCGAGUCCCUAGUGCAUCCCGUUGCUCCAGGCCAACUAACAUACUGAUAACUUCCUCCUCAUUCCCAUCACUCCCCACCCACACAGCUCUAUGAAAAGCACGCAAUGCAGAAUCCGGAAUAGAAGAACAAAGAGACAGAUUUCGAAGACGCACGGCGUGACGUAACUCUGAAGCACUUGGCUGCCUGGACUCUUCACUCGCCGAAACGGAUGCUGCUGCAGAAUUCACCUUCCUCAUGAGAACUGCAAACCGGUUACUAGACACAGAAGCAGCAACGCCACCUUCAUGAGAGCUUCUAGGGACAUCAACGGAAGAAGAAACACCAUGGUCACCAAUUGAGAGAGUAGGGUUUAUUCUGUCACAUGCCCACACCAAAACCUCAUUCUCCGUUUCACUGCCGGAGCUCUUUGCUUUCUGCUGUUCUUCAUCACAUUCAGGCUGUAAUUUUUAAAAUGAAUAAAAGUCGUAAAGUUAACUCUAACAUCAACAAUAAAUUAAAGACCACAUUCAGUGAAAUUAUGCCAGCUAAACUUUGAAGGGGUCAAUAUGAAUUCCUAGGAGAACCUUAGUCUUCUGGGUGAAAUAUCAGCAUUCAUUUAUAGUCACUUAGGAUAGUUGGUCUAUUUAUGAAGAUAUAGAUUAGAGGUUGAUUGUGAAUUUAACUAAUACAAUUUGCAGUUCAUAUAAAACUGAGGGAUCAAAACAAAGUACUUAUACUAAAACCCAAAAGCAGAGGUAGGCCAAACUCAUUGAAAUUGCAACCACAGUGCAAUAGGCCACAACUAGUUCUACAAAAAGACCUGAUCCUUAUGGUGUACGUAUACACAUCAAAACCCACCCCCUUUGUCCUUCAUCCUCAUGUAAAGUGUAAACCUUGUGAGCAAAAUCACUUUGUAGAGGUAGUUUUAUUUUGAAAAUCACUUUUCUAGGGUUUUUAGAAGUAGCUUUAUUUUUUUUUUGUACAGAACCUUAUGGAAAUCGAUUACCAUUAUUUUGUGGGUGUUAGCACACAUUUUCAGCCAUUCCAGUAACUAUUGGAAAUCGGUUUCCUCUUCUGGAAAUCGGUUACUGGUCCAAACGUGUUUUUCUCCUCUCAACAGGUCAACAACGUGUUGUGUUUGUUAGCCUUGGACAGAAAAUAAGGGGAAUCCAUUACCCUGGUAGGUAUGGAAACCGAUUUCCCUGACACGUUAUAUAAAGCCCUGCGUUUUCAAGGUAAUUUUCUUCUUCACAUCUUCUAUUGUGGCUUGGUUAAGGGUUUCAUAUACUUGGGGAAUUUCAUGGUAAUCAAGUGUAGGGUACAUAUUAGCUAUAGUAUCAGUUAAUGUUAGGUGUGAAAGGUUUUUAUGUUGCUUCUGAUUGUCCGCCGCCGGAGCAAUUAUAUGUUUCAUUCAAUCUUGUGUUUUUGUGUGUAGCUCUACAUGUAAAUUCAAUGCUUCAAAAGCUUUAAUGUUGCAGUAAUGCAAAGAUUGGGGUUUCUAUUGAAGCCAAAUGUCAGGUUUUUCUUCUCUUUUUCAGCAUUGAUGUUUCUUUGGCAACACUAGUCACUCUUAUCUCAUUCCUGAAAGCUCAGUGAUACUUCUAGUGUUUUCCUUUUAUGUACUUAUCUUGUAGAGUGCACUUUUCCACCUCUAAGGUUAAUCUGACUAUUGAAUUCUGCACUAAUAUCAACAAUGAUACAGUUGAAGAAUAGAGCAAUUACUAUAUCAACAAUUUUGUUUUUGCGGUGGCUUGUUGAGUACUUAUCUUGUAGAUGCUUUCCUGCCUUUUAUUUUUUUUAUCAGCAGCUACAGGAUGACAUUAGUAUACUAAAACACUUGACUCAAAAUCAGCUACUGCAUCAUGUUGUCCUUCUUCAUCCUCCUCACUUGACUUAAAUUAGUACCUAUAGUAUAUCAGUUUUUUGGUUGCUUCAUCCGUAUUCCUUUCAUUCCCGUCCAGGUGCCUUUUGAAGAAGUUCAUGCCAGAGUCAGCUCAAGCCUCAAGGGAUAUCUGACAAAAGAGUCCAUACAAAAGAUGUGCAUCGUCUUGAUGUCAAAACAUUGGGUACCAGUUUUGUUAAAUUCACUGAUUUUGCGGUUAUGGUAUGUUGUCCACUCCUAUCUGUUUCAACUUAAAUGUUUAGGCCACCCAGUGCUAGCUCAACUGAACAGCCUACAUGUCCUGUCUGCCUCGUUGCAGAGUGCACUAGUUGGUUCAUACAAAGGUAGAUGCCAUUAUUUAAUACACCCGACACCAUUUUAGAAAAUGAAUUGCACUAGAAAAAUCUGAUCAAUCUGCAAGACAAGAAGAAAUCCCAUCACAAAAAGUUACUGGUUUCCAGGUUAUAAUUGAUUCACAGGUUAUACAUUUGCACACGUUGAGGAGGCCAUUAACGUGAGGAGACCAAGAGGUAGACCACGGAAGCAUAAUUCGUGCGUGCGGGAAGUAACACCCAAACGUCAGCAUGGGAGGCCAAGGAAAAAUGCAGUUUGCCCAGAGAUGAGGAGGCUGAGGUCAGAAGGUAAACAAAGGUCUUUGGUACAUGCUGAUAUACAUUCAGAGGAGGGAGUAAAGACUCAAGCUAGAAGAGCAUUGAUUCGGUGUCAAAAUGCGGGUUUAAUUUUUGACUGUGAGGAAGAGGUUUUUGUGCAGAGUUUGAUUCAUCAAAUUCAACUGGGGAAGCAGCAGUAGGGGAUGACAGGGGUGGGAGUGACAUGGAUUGUCUGGGGUUUGGGGCGUGCUGAGAAAACAAAAGCUGUGAUGGUGGCUAUUAAUCAGGUACACCCGGAAGUUAUUUUGUUACAAGAGACAAAGUUGAAGGAAGAUCAAGAGAAGUUAUUGGGUGGUUGCUUUCGGGCUGCAAGGUUGGAAUUACGUAGUGUUCCAGCUAUUCAUGCAGCGGGAGGACUGAUGACUUUGUGGCGGAAGGAUAUCUGAAUUUGAUUAAUUUGCUGAGGGCGGAGGGGCAUUGUGUCAGUAUUGUGCAUGUUUUUCGGGAGGCUAAUGAACAAGCUGAUGAUUUAGCAAAGUCUGCGUGUGACAGAACUGAUCCUCUUUGGGUGGUGGCCUGAAAAUUGAAGGUGGUGUUGGUGUGGUUAAGGUGCUGUGUCGGGGAUUAGGUGUGACUUGCUGGGAUUGGGGAGGGUGGUGCGUGUUGAUGAUGGAGUGAAGGGUGUUUUUGUGACUAAUCUGUUGUGGGUUUUGCAGGUCUAAGUUAUAUAAGCUUGAAUGACCAUCUAGGCUACUCGUGAAGUUUUAUUGUUUGUUGAGUUGAGGAGUAUGGAUAGGUAUUUUGUCAUGCAAAAGUUGCUUGCUGUGCGUGGACUAUAACUAUUUUGGUCAAGGGAAGGAUGCUUAACAAGAUGCUUACAAUUAUAUAUAACUGAGAGCCUUGUCUAUAUAUAUUUGUAAGUUGCUGGAUGAUGUUUUAAUGAUUAAAAGCUAUUGUGCCUACCUCGCUUGCUGUGGAAUAAGUGCAGUGGAAUUUUGCUGCUGUUUCUGUUGUGAGUUUUGGCUGCUGGUGCUGUUUUGUUGAGCUGCUGUGGCUUUGCAUUUGCACUAGUGAAUUAAAUUCAGGCCUUGCUGUGCUGAUUGUGGUUGUUUACAUGUAUCUGGGAUUGGAAUUGUUUUUGGAUGAGGCCUUUUAUUAGGUGUGCAAAUUGGUUUCUUAAGAGGGAUGUAUGGUUUUUUUCU